AUGCACCUUAAUGUUGGUGCCACCCACCAUAAAACCGAAGAAGUUUUAACAUUUUACACUGCCACCCCCGUUUUUCAACUUCAUUUGUCUGGAAGGCCACCAUUUUGUACAUUGUACAAUUUCUCCAUAGAAGCAAUUUACAGCUUUUUGGAGAGUCAGACUGAAGAAAGUCAGUUCCUGGUGGAGUGAGGUGAAUUUUGCCAAGGAGCACUUCUACAAAGCAUCAAGUGGCUCAGGGUGCCUGGCUUAAAGACUUCGCAGAGAAGUACCGAUUAGAUCCUGGUGAUUGUAACAUUUAACAGGUGACUUGUGAUAUAACUAAUAACUUAACAGAUAACUAGUAAUCAUAGCUUUUUUGCAGUUUGGCAUUACUAGAGUUUCUGUGCUUCAUAACAUUCAUUUCGAAUUUGCCCAGUCAAAUUACUUUACAAAAGUAAAUUUUUAUCAAAUUAUUGUUGUUGUUUUUCCACUUGUUUCAAACUAAAUGAGUUGUCAAACCGAUGGGUAAAUGUCUUAUUGCCAUUUAAUUUUAGACUCAACAGGGUAGGACAUCUCUGCUUAUCACCUGCCCCAAACAUCACAAAGCCACAAUAAGAGAACAAAGAUCGGCCUCCUUUAGUGAGAUUUCUUAAGGUGCAUGCCUUAAUCUAUACUUAAAAGGUUAGCUCAGACUCUCUUUCAUCUUCAGAACACAGAUAUUUUUACUAAAAUUUGAGAGCUUCCUGUCCCUUCAUUGACAGUCCACUCAUCUACCUUUCAAGCCCAAGAAAGUUAGCCUAUAAAGACAUCAUUCAAGUAAUCAGUGUGACUCCAGUAGUUUAUCAUCAGUGUUAUUAAGCUACGCGAGUUCUGUGUUUGCAAAACCACUUUAUUUACAAAAUAUUAAUCUCCUCUGCAUGAUCAGAGAUGUUGAUACGAGAGUAGAUGUUGUUGUGUGACCAUGCACUGAAAAUUUUAAUUUUGUAAAUAAAGUCAUGAAUUGUUUUUUGCGCAAAUAAAGCACUCGUGUUGCCUCGUAGAAUUGAGGAUAAACCACUGGAGUCACAUGGAUUACUUUUAUGAUUCCCUUUGUUCCGUUUUUGAGAAGUUCAGACCAUCUGAUAAUCAGCUUUUAUAUUAUUUCUGAUAACAGAAAUGUGCAUUUAUCAUUUAUUUUAAAAGUGAACCUUCCAUGAUGUAAAGUGGCUUGUACAUUAAUAAAGAACUAGUUAAAACAACUGUUUGCAUUUUGCCUUUAUGUGAAAAGACUGUGAUCCCAGACUAAUGUUUAAUUAAACUUUAUGGAUUGUUUUAAUGUACUCUCGAUGUUGUUAUUAAUGUAACACUGCAAGUUGUCACAAUUUUUUUUCCUCACUGUCAACUCUCCUAAUUUAACCUGGUUGGAAUACAGUAAUAUCAACUCAUCACACUGAAGUUAAAAAUAUCUUAAUAAUGUUAAAUUGUAACUCUUUACUCUGCGUUGAAGAAAAUUAACUCACUGUGGUGUGGACCAGAGUUGUUUUACAGUGUAAAUGUAACUCUGUCUUAGUUUUAUAACACUCUUAAAAAUGUUACUUUGAUUUUGAAAAGUUUGAGACAAUAUGUUCACUCACUCAGAGCUGAUUGUAACCCUAAAAUAGUUGAAUUAACAUCAGUGAAUUUGCUGUGCAGAACAGGAGUGCUAGAUGAUUUAUUUGCACUGCAUGUUGACCAGACCAUUAACUUAAAUUGACACAGCAAACCCACACUGUGUGUAACAAAUGGGGAGAUUUGGGGUGUGGUGGGAUUGCUCAGAUAAACCUCAGGCUCUACCUUCAAGGAGCAGGUCCUCCCACCCUAAUGACUGCUGCCUGUCUGAGCAGUAAUGUGUCACCUAUUUUAUAUCCCGGAGGACAAAGAGAUUGUCAAGAAGGGCUGUUUACUAUCAACAUAUGCUGUGGAUAGAUAUGCUGUGCACAUGGGUGACAAUAUAAGUAACUGCCCUACUUUAUGUUUUUAUGUCCUUAAAUUUGUAUUGUUUAUAUUUUCAUAAGUGUGAUUAGGGCCACUGUUUUUCUAUAUGUCUUUCGAGCUAUAUUUUUUUUAACACAUACUUGUAAUCAAGUUAAAAAUUGUUGUUGCUGUUUCAUAUUUUUGUGUUAAAGGUAAUAUACGGGAUUCAGCAUUCUUAAAGAAAAUUAAAAAGAGUAGCGUUUGUUUAAAAUAGAAAUCUUUUAUGAGAACUUUUUGUGAGAAAAGUUUCUAUUUUUUUUUUUUUUAUUUUUUAAAUCUUACAUAACCUAAUCUUCGUAUCAUUAGUUUCUAACUAAAAUAUGAUGCUGACAAAGGUUU
rnacentral:lncRNA from 1 species